rnacentral:rRNA from 1 species
AAAAAUAAUUUUGAAUUAUUUUGCUAUAAUUAUGAAUAUUUUAAUUUAUACUAUCAAAAGAAA